CAGGGAAUUUUGCGCAAUGGGCGAAAGCCUGACGCAGCAACGCCGCGUGAGGGAUGAAGGCUCUUGGGUCGUAAACCUCUUUUGCCGGGGAAGAUAAUGACGGUACCCGGCGAAUAAGCCACGGCUAACUACGUGCCAACAGCCGCGGUAAUACGUAGGUGGCAAGCGUUGUCCGGAUUUAUUGGGCGUACAGGGCGCGCAGGCGGUUCGUUAGGUUCGAGGUGAAAUCUCUUGGCUCAACUGGGAGAGGUCUUCGGAUACCGGCGGACUUGAGGAGAGCAGAGGUGAGUGGAAUUCUGGGUGUAGUGGUGAAAUGCGUAGAUAUCCAGAGGAACACCAGUGGCGAAGGCGACUCACUGGGCUCCACCUGACGCUGAGGCGCGAAAGCGUGGGGAGCGAACCGGAUUAGAUACCCGGGUAGUCCACGCCGUAAACGAUGGGCACUAGGUGUGAGGGGUAUUGACCCCCUUGUGCCGUAGCUAACGCAUUAAGUGCCCCGCCUAGGGAGUACGGCCG
rnacentral:rRNA from 1 species